rnacentral:rRNA from 1 species
AUUGAACGCUGGCGGCAGGCCUAACACAUGCAAGUCGAGCGAGCGGCGGACGGGUGAGUAAUGUCUGGGAAACUGCCUGAUGGAGGGGGAUAACUACUGGAAACGGUAGCUAAUACCGCAUACCAUCAGAUGUGCCCAGAUGGGAUUAGCUAGUAGGGGGGGUAACGGCUCACCUAGGCGCCGAUCCCUAGCUGGUCUGAGAGGAUGACCAGCCAAACUGGAACGGAGACACGGUCCAGAUUCCUACGGGAGGCAGCAGGGGGGAAUAUUGCACAAUGGGCGCAGGCCGGAGGCAGACAUGCCGCGGGUGGGAAGAAGGCUUGCGGGUUGUAAGGCACUUUCAGCGGGGAGGCGUUACCCGCAGAAGAAGCACCGGCUAACUCCGUGCCAGCAGCCGCGGUAAUAC